AAGGAAAUUUUGUGAAAAACAUGUUCAUUUGAGCAACAUCUAUAACAUGCAAUUAACAUUUAAAGGCGGAAUCAUGCUUGUAUGCACUCUAAAACAAAACAUUACCCAUGAAAUUCAAAGCCCAGUAGAUGGGUGAACCAAGACUCAACUCAAAACAAAAAUGAGUUGAGAAAUUUAUACCUUUGUUGAUUCCUCUUUGCAUAAGCAAAGGAUAAUCACCCAAGAGAUAGGGCCUUCAUUCCUUGCUUCUUAACUCCAUGGAUUUGUAUAAUUUUAGUAAUCAGUUUGUAUAUUUUUGUUGAUCCUAAAAACUACCAAGCCUACAUGGCGCGCAAGCCGAGUAAUUAGUAAGCUAACUACGUCCUUCGGUUGUAUGCGGGGCGUGCCAACUCGUCGGUCGAGGAGUAAAAUUUGUUGAUGUUACGUUGGGUUCGCGGUCGACUUCUGCAUCUUGUGAUUGCGACUGAGGAAUGAACACGUCUUGACCUCUUGGGUUCUCGAACCUGAAGACAAGGUUACUAUUCUUAGGAAGUUCACAAAUCGUCGUCGUCGAAUUCGGUCACAGUGAUGGUAUUCGUCAAAGUAAACUUACGCCGAAUCGACACCAAACUGUAAGGGCACAAAUACUCAAAGUGGAUAUAUGUCUUAACAAUAAACGUGGUUCGG
rnacentral:lncRNA from 1 species